UACGGGGGGGGCAAGCGUUGUUCGGAAUUACUGGGCGUAAAGGGCUCGUAGGCGGCCAACUAAGUCAGACGUGAAAUCCCUCGGCUUAACCGGGGAACUGCAUCUGAUACUGGAUGGCUUGAGUUCGGGAGAGGGAUGCGGAAUUCCAGGUGUAGCGGUGAAAUGCGUAGAUAUCUGGAGGAACAUCGGUGGCGAAGGCGACAUCCUGGACCGGUAUUGACGCUGAGGCGCGAAAGCCAGGGGAGCAAACGGG
rnacentral:rRNA from 1 species